rnacentral:rRNA from 1 species
UCUUUUGGGCGAGAACCCCGGGAACUGGGGCUAAUCCCUGAUAAGCGAUAAGACUUGGAAUAGUCUAUCACCCAAAAGCCUCCAGACCACGCUCAAAGAGGCGCCCAAGGACAAAGCCGCGACCGAUCAGGCAGUUGGUAGGGCAACGGCCUACCAAACCCAUAACCGGUACGGGCCGUGAGAGCGGAAGCCCGGAGAUGGAUACUGAGACAAGGAUCCAGGCCCUACGGGGCGCAGCAGUUGCGAAAACUCCACAAUGCACGAAAGUGUGAUGGGGCUACCCCGAGUGCCGUCCGCUGAGGAUGGCUUUUCUCUGCUGUAAGGAGGCAGAGGAAUAAGGAGAGGGCAAGCCUGGUGUCAGCCGCCGCGGUAAUACCAGCUCUCCGAGUGGUAGGGAUGAUUAUUGGGCUUAAAGCGUCCGUAGCCGGCUUGACAAGUCUUCUGUUAAAUCCAGCAACCCAAUUGUUGGACUGCGGAAGAUACUGCCAAGCUAGAGAACGGGAGAAGCCGACGGUACUCUCAGGGUAGGAGUGAAAUCCUAUAAUCCUGGGAGGACCACCAGUGGCGUAGGCUGUCGGCUAGAACGUGUCUGACGGUGAGGGACGAAAGCUUGGGGAGCGAACCGGAUUAGAUACCCGGGUAGUCCAAGCUGUAAACGAUGCGGGCUAGGUGUUGGGGUGGCUACGUGCCACUUCAGUGCCGCAGGGAAGCCGUUAAGCCCGCCGCCUGGGGAGUACGGUCGCAAGGCUGAAACUUAAAGGAAUUGGCGGGGGAGCAC